rnacentral:tRNA from 1 species
AUUUAAAUAGCUUAAAUUUAGAGCGUAAUAUUGAAGAUAUUAAAGUAACCUUAGGUUUUUAAAUA